AUCAUGCUCUCCAAAUUCUUUUGAGCUCAAAUAAGUUAAAAAGUUGUAUUCGAUCUCUUUGCCUCGAGUUCGCCGGAGAUACAGCGUCAAUUAUUGAUGCUACGGCUUUCGCAGAUCUAAACUACCUCAAUGAAUUAAAUAUUUAUAGUGGUUUUGAGUUGGAAGAGUUGAAGAUUGAUUAUACAGAGAUAGUACGAAAAAGGCGGGAACCUUUUGUUUUCCGCAACCUUCACCGUGUUACUAUACAUAGCUGCCAGAAGUUGAAAGAUUUGACAUUCCUCGUUUUUGCUCCAAACCUCAAGUCUGUUCAGCUACUCGAUUGCUAUGCUAUGGAAGAAAUAAUCAGCGUCGGAAAAUUUGCUGAGACUCCUGAGAUGAUGGGACAUAUAAGCCCUUUUGAAAAUCUCCAAAUGCUUGAUUUAGAAGAUUUGCCACAUUUGAAGAGCAUCUUCUGGAAGCCAUUGCCUUUCACUCAUCUGAAAGAAAUGGCGGUAAGUGGGUGUGAUCAGCUUGAAAAGCUUCCACUCGAUUCCAACAGUGCAAAGGAGCGUAAAUUUGUAAUUCGUGGAGAAGAAGACUGGUGGAACCGACUUCAAUGGGAGGAUGAAGCCACUCAAAUUGCUUUUCGUUCCUGUUUCCAACCUUAUUCCUGAGCGGUGGUCGCAAAUUUUGAUUCUCUGUUUUUAUUUCUGGUUAGUUUCUCUCUCUCUCUUUCUCUCUCGCUCUCUCUCUUUUUGUCUUCUGCAAAUCACAAUUAAAUGUUGAAUUAAUGGAAUUAAUGCUUCAUAAAUUUGCCGGCACAGCCACUACUUUUUUUUGGGGGGGGGGGGGGGGGGGGUCGAAUUGGUGCUCUGGUUUUUGACUUUUUGUUAGCGAUUUAAUUUCCUGUCAAAAGACGAGCGAGAAGAACAUAUAUAUGACGUAAACCAAUUGAUACUUUAUUUAUGUGCAUUGUAUGUAAUAAAUAUUAAGUAUACUUUAUUUUUGCCCUGUUCUCUGUUUUUAUUUCAGUCUCUCUCUCUCUCUCUCUGCUGUCUCCUGUCUCCUGCAAAUCACAAUUAAAUGUUGAAUUAUAUGGAAUUAAUCCUUCAUAAAUCUGCCUGCGCUGGCUUUUUUUUUUUUUUUGUGGGGGUCGAAUUGAUGCUCUGGUUUUCGACUACUUUUUGUUGUCAAAAUUUUCUCUGUUUUUUCAAAUUGAUGCUUUAUUGAUAUCUUCUUCGUGAAAAGUGAUUUAAUUUCCUGCCAAAAGACGAACGAGAAGAACAUUAGAGUCAAACUAAUGCUCACAUAAAUUUCCCGUAAGAAUAUAUAAUUAUUAAGAUAGAUCUGCUCUUUCAUUAAAUAUAUAUUCCUUUUUCACAUAUUAAUUGACCUUUAUUUAAUUUGUUUAAAAAGUUUAAUUAAUUGUUGUUUGCAGAGAAUCAUCUACGCCGCUCGCCGAUAAAAGUUGAGGUGUUCGAGCAGGUGCUUGCCUUUUUUUUUUUCUUUUUCUUUUUUCCCUGUUUUAAUAUUUCUUUAAAUUUUGAAAUUGUUUAAUUAUUCUUCUGGUUUGGAAUGUUGAUAAUAGUGUUGUGAAAUUAAUUUUUACAGGAUAAAAGGUUGUGGGACAUUUAUUAUCCAUGUCCUAUGUAUCUCAAGCUUAAAGGUCUCAGUGGUCCUCUAUUGGAAAAAGCAAGUUUAAUAUAUAUUAAUUGGAUAUCGUCGCCUGUAUAUAUAUGUAUAUACAUACAUACACAGCCACUCAUCGAUUAUAGACUUAAUUAUUUAAUUGAUUAUGUAAUCUCUCGUAGUUUCUUUGUGCAUUUUUAGUUAAUUUAAUGAAUAAACUCAAAUACAUUGUAAAUAAAACCAAAUUAAAUGUUCCCUAAAAUAUACGUAUAUGCCUCUCGAUGGCACACAAGGUUAAAUGUCAGCCCAUCGCGGGUAAUAUUAUUUCUAGCCGCCUUCAUUACGAGUUAAGAGUCAAUUAUUACUAAACUAAACUAGUCAAAACUCGUAAGUGCUAGAAAGUAGAAACGUUUGAUUCUAUAUAAAUGACUUCAAUUCAAUAUGUACCAAAGAGUAUCGAUAAUUGAACCCCAAAAAACUUUAAAAAAGAUUGACAAAAUUAAUUAUAUUAUUGUGUGUUUUUAGAAGAAAAAAUAAAAUAAUUAAUUAAUGUUAUAACACUAUGUUAGGUGAAAAGUCAGCUGUCUGGAAGAGAACAAACUUACUAAGAUAAGAGCCUUCUUCAGUAAUCAACCGAACGAAAAAGUCAUCUCUUUUCUUAUUUAUUUAGUAAAAAUAAGUAAAGGCCGAAAAUUUCCUAAAAUAUCUAAAUCCCUCUCUUUAAAAGAACACCAUAUGCUGCAUAACAUGCAAAUUAAUUUCCCAUAUGUGAUGCAAUUUUCUCCUCAACAUAUGCGCAAUUCUUUCCAUUCCGGCAUUUACACUCAAAUUUUCCUUCCUUUCUCUUUGUGGUUGAAUCUUACACCACAACUCAUGUGAUGCAAUCUCCUCUCGCUGCCUAAAUUGCACUCUCAGCAAAGCAGCAUAUGUAAGCAAGCUUGAAGAUAAUCUUGCUGCUCUGCGGAAGAACGGCAAAAGUUAAUCGAAGCAAGGACUGAUGUAUCAGAAAAAUUUUGGUGGAGAAUUCAGCACAAACAUAUUUCGGAUGAUCAGAAUCAAUAAAACAUGGUGGUUGCGCCAUAUAAACAUCUUCGGAAAGCUGGCCUUGAAGAAAGGCGUUUAUUGAUAUCCAAUUGACGAAGAGGCCAGCCAUGACUAACAUCAAUACUAAGAACAAGCCGUACUGUGGUGGGCUUAACAACUGGACUGAAAGUGUCAUAAUAGUCCACACCAGGCCGUUGAUUGAACCCUUUGGCAAUAAGACGAGCUUUGAACCUGUCAACAGAACCGUUGGAAUGUCUUUUAAUACAAAAAUCCAUUUGCAGCCAACAAUAUUGGAAAGGAUGGGAGGUGGAACAAGCUUCCAUGUCCCGUUAAGAACAAGAGCAUCAUACUCUUCUGACAUAGAUUGACGCCAGUGAGGAUUUUUGAUAGCUUGCGUCACAGUUGUAGGUUCACAAUCAGAAGGAGGGCUAAAAUGAGCACAGAGGUUAAGUUUUUGUAACGGCUUGUGAAUGUUAUUUUUAGCUCCGGUAGUCAUAUCAUGAUGAUUUGUGGGGCAACGAUCUAGUGGAGUUUGGGAAGAUGAUUGAACAGGAAGUGAAGAAGUGCUUUGUGUAGAGGUAGAAAUAGGUUGGGAGGAUUGCUGCGGAGAUGUUACCGGUAGAGAAGAAGGAGCAGUACACGGUGGCAACUCCAAAGGGCCCACAAUAGAUGGAGUAGGUGCCGACGAUGGAGUACUAGGAAAUGAAACAGUAAGAAUUGGUGGAACACUUGCGUAAUUAGGAGUUGUAGAUGAGCUUGUAAUGAUUUGUAUGGAAAAACAAACUCUACAAAUUUAACGUGACGUGAAAUAAAAAUUUGAAAGGUGGAUGGGUCAAAACAUAAAUAAGCACUUUGAGAUAAAGGAAUAUCCUAGAAAAACACAAGGCUUAGAGGGUGGUUCGAGUUUAUGUGAUGAAACACAAACAUUCAAAAUUUUUUAAGUUUAUAUUAAUUAGGAGUGGUACCAAAAAUUAAUUGGCUAUCGGGUUGUUGGAUGUGUUUUGGAUAUUUACAGCUAAGUUUGAGUAUCUCAACUUAAAAUUUGUAGCUUUCACUUGAAAAAAUUCAGUUAAAAUUUGCAAUGCAGACUGAUUGAUUUAUCAGUUUAACGUGUGCCAGGAAUGAAGAACUGGAAUAUCACCGUCAAGCAAGCACCCUGUGGAGCAAUACCAAACAAUGUACAAUCCGGCUUUGCUAGGUGACACUGGAGGCUUUUUGAAAAGUGCUUCACGCUCACUUGCACAGAUUGAGCAUCCCCUCUGGAUAUUGCCCUCUCUGAUCGAGUCUGAGCACUCAAAUUUUGGUCCUCAGAGGGAGCUACAGUUUUCUCUCCACUAACCAACAAUUUUCUAAACUCAGCACCUAGUGUGAUCUUGAGCCAUAUCUAAAGCAGUUUGAAGUUCAAGUACUUGAGCCCUUGACAAUGGUUUUAAAAUUGGAACAUCUUGGAUUACUGCAGACUUGUACCCCUUGGUUUCAAAGUAAGGAAAGGUAUUGCUUGAGUACAAUUUGGAGGCAGCUUCUUCACCAAUUUUAUUUGGAGGCGAUUGGCAGCGGAUCCAGCUGCACGAAGACUAAACAAGUCAGAUGCAGUUUAUUUGUCCAAGCACAAAUUGCAUUUUGUCCUCAACUUUAAUAUUUAUUGAUGAGAAUCAAUACAGGUCCCUCAUUUGUUAUAGAAAGCUUUAUUGUAGUCUCACCAGUUAAUUCACAGGUCUAUAAUCAUCUUGCAAAGUUAAGGGCAUUUCUUUCGAUCUAAAGUCUUUGCAUCACCACCUCAUCACACGCCAAGCCAAUAUUCCAUUUACCUCUGCAACAAAAAGUUUUAAGUAAACAAUCCUAAUGCACGCAGCCAAAUAAAAUGCAGUAAGAAUAUUCAACUUAAAAAUCUGAAAGCCAACUUGGUGAAUUGCCUCCUUAGGUGAAGUUCCAUGCUUUACUAUAGUUGACAGAACUCAGCAAAAGCUUCCAUACAACAGAUUUUGAAAAUGAUGAUGCCAAUAGAUACUCAUUCAAUCCAUUGAAAAUCCAAAGGUUCAUUGUUAAUAGAAGUUUACAGAGUUUUGGUCAUCAAAUAGCUCAGACCUAAUCCCAAACAAAAAACGAGUGAAAAUUAGAUCACGAGCAGCUAAUUGUAAAUUCUAACUUAACUCUUCAUCUCCUUUGUAAACAAGAAACAAAAUGGAGACACGCAAAAUGAAUAUGGAGAAAAUUUGAACUCAAAUGAAAUGAGGGCACGAAAGCAAACAAAUGGCAUGCACAAAAAAACCAAGCCUCAAUCAAAAACUAAUUAACCAUUAAGAAAAAAAUUGGUCAGAGAAUGAACUCCAAAUUCAGGAGUCAAGCAAGAAGCUUUCAUCAUUUCAGAAGCUCCUGUACAAAAAAACCAAGCCUCAAUCAAAAGCUUUCAUUAAUAAGUUAUGCUCUUUGGAAGCAAACCUAAAUUCCAAGAGAAACAGAAGCCAAAAAAUUUGCAAUUAUACGCAAAGGAAGUGAAGCACAGGAUUCUAUCACACAUAGGAAUUGUAUAACAAGAGAUCGAUAUAUCGAAUUAGAAAACUCAAUUCGAAUUUGUGUGAAAAAUCAAAAUUAGAAGAUUUCACAUUUCGAGAGGAACAAGCAACAGAUGACGUUCAAAAUUUCAGCCAUAACAUGCUAAAAAUGCUACACUUAACGGUUCAUUUUCAUGGAUUUUCUCGGGAAACAAACAGAAAAUUACGGUUCAGAGAGUUGACUGACCUUUUGGCUUUUGAAAUUGAGAAGAUCGCGCGCCAAAUUGGAAGAGGGAAAGUGAAAGUGCGAGUUUUAAUAUGGGUAGAUAAGGAAAUUUUAUUAGGUUGCGAGGGUAAAAAAGGAAAGAGAUAUCAUUAUUUUAUCAUCGAUAAUUAUUAAAUUUUUUUCCAAAAAAAAGAACAAGCAAGGAUAUUUUAUUGUCAUUACUAAGUUAAAAAAAAUUGUUUCAAAAUUACUUGAGUCAUAUCCAAUGGACCAACAAAGUAAUCGUUUUUAUUUUUAUUGAUUUUUGCAGGAAAUUAAUAACUUAAAAAUACUGAAAGCUAUUGUAAAAAUUUUUAUUAUCAACCUCAUAGUUUUUUUUUUUUGGGGGAAGAGAAUUCAAACAUUUUUUUUUUAAAUUUCCAAGAAUUCUUGACACCCGUCUUAAUUAAAAGCUAUAUUUUUAUUCAAGAGUCAUGCUAUUCAUUCACUCACAGACCAAAGGCUUUCCGCAGCAAUAUUAUUAUUUAAAUUACAACAAAGGGGAAAUCAAAUACGUCAUACAGAAGCUUAAAGCUGAAUCAACAAAAUCUAGAGCUCUCAACUACAAAAAUUACACUUGAUGAUCCUCUACAAGAUGAAGCUUGUUCAAUAUCUUAUCCAAAGCUUGUAAAGUAACCUUGUAACGAUCUUGAGAUUGCCUGCCUUCCUCGACGACCUGCACGAUGCGUUUGUACAAAUCAUCAUACCUGUGCACCGGAUUUUUAAUAUCAACGCCACUGCAGCUGUGAUUAAGAAAAUAAGAGCGUUUAACAUCUUUUCUCCAUCGAGAAAGAAUGUACUGAGAUGGGAUCUCCUGCACGCCACUCUGGUUUAGAACACAAAGAAUGUGUCUGCAUAAAUAUCCUCUGAAAUUGAACAACCCACAAACGCAAAGCACCUCCAAGUUGGAGGCAUUGUACAAAACAUCGAAAGCCCUUGAGUCUUUCUCAUUGCUACCAACCUCGAAUUCUUCCUUCACUAUGUAUGUUAUAGGUCCAUCAGCACUAACAUGUUUUGUGCUAUAGCAAGAGUACAUAGCCUCCACCUCCGUCUGAAACUUCCUUAACAUUUCAUUUGUGUACAGUUUUGAGAGUUGAAAUUCAUAGUAACAUCUUGGUUUCUGGAUACAACUUGAAUUUCUUGAAUCCAUAUCUGCCAAGGCUUCCAGUUGAUAAUUCGCCCGCAGUGCUUGAUCAUACUUGUCUAAGAAUUCUUUCAAAGGAGUAUUCUUAUCAAGAUAUCCUUCAAAGUAUGAAGUAGAAACCUCAUUCUGCGGGAACGAAAACACUCCUGAUAAAAAAGCUUCCUUCAAAUAAAUAGGAGCCCACCUUUUACGAUCUUCAUAUAAAGUUUGAAUCCAUCCGUGAUCCUUUAUUCCAUGACGUUGAAUCAUGUCUUUCCAAGCUGCUUCAAAUUUCUCAGGCCUGAGAGAGUGAUAAAUUGCUCUAUGUAAUGCAGCUUUAAUAGCUUCAUAUUCAAACAAUCCUUGGAGUUUCACUGGAAUUUUUUGCAUGAUGCAUGACAAUGAAAAGCAACGAUAAGCUCUUGGGAAAACAUCGCCAACAGCAAUUUGCAAGAUUCUACAUUGGUCAGUGAUGAUUGUUUGUGGAGAGCGCCCUAACAUACAUGUAAGCCACGCCCUAAACAACCAUGUAUAUGAUUCUAUGGUCUCACUGGCAAGUAAACCACAACCCAACAACACUGAUUGUCCAUAAUGAUUCACCCCAAUGAAUGAAACCAGUGGUACAUCAUAUCUUUCAAUCAAGCACGUAGUAUCAAUUAAGACUACAUCACCAAAGUACCUAUAUGCAACUCUUGACCUGGUAUCAGUCCAGAACAGGUUUCUCAAGCAUCCCUUUUCAUUUAGAUCCACUACAUUAAAAAAGUUUGGAUCUGUCAACUGCAAACGACAAAAGAAACUCUGGACAGCUUGUGCAUCACCUGGUUUAAGCUUCAAUUGAUUUGAGCUAUUAACAUUAUUUCCAAAUACUCCAUUAACAUCUACAUUACCAUUUCCCUAGGCAUCAAUGAUAAGAGUUCGAAACAGUUUAAUUUUUUGAACUUCUUCAGCACUAUCUAAAUGCAAUGUUCUUUUGGUUCCAAUACCUAUGUGCUUAUGUGACUUGCAAAACUUUCCACUUCUUGGGCUUAACAAGUGGUUAUGCUCAAGCUCGACUUCAAUGAUUCUCCACCUUUUGGUUUCCAUCAACCUAAACUUUAUCAUUGCUGGACAGCCAGCUCUUGUUUCUGGUCUUGGACGGUUUGCCUCACUUUUCUUCUUGAAGCUUGCACUACUACAGCUCAGCUUUCCUCUAUACUUUUCUCUACUCUUUCAGUACCAGGUAUUGCUAACUCUAACACCAAAACCCUGUUCCUUGGCAUAGCAAUUGUAAAAGUAAUAUACAUCAUCGUACAUCUCAAACUCCAUUCCAACAGCAGGAGGCAAGGGAUUUUGGAUUAUCCCAGUUUGUCCAACAUAUUCAGUCAUCGCACAAUCUCCUACGACCUCAAAAUCAUCAGUGUCAUCAUCACCUAUUGGUUCGGUGUUGAGAGAAACUUCAUCCAUCUACAAUGGAUGUUCAAUGAAGUGAGCUUUAAGGAGAAAAAGCAAAAUCAGUUCAAGGAAUCAUAGUAUAAUCAUACAGUUACUUUCACAAAGCUUCAUAUUUCAUCACUGCUUUACCAACAUGCAACUGCCAGAGAACAAACAGACAUGUCAUAGACGCUUGAAUUAAGUAUUGGUACAAAUGAGCACACAUCAUGUGGGACAAAAUUUCAGUCACUAAACCCAAUACCACUUUUUACAUCAUACCAAGGAACAGAUUAAACCCGACACCUUCUUUUAAACCAUACCAAGGAACAGAUUAAAUCAUCAAUGAAAAAUUAAUCACAUAAUAACUUAACCAGACAAAUGAAGAGCCUGAAACAGCACAAAACUUGAAUCUGAUUAUGAUAAUUGUUGAGUCCUUGUAUCUACAGCUUUCCUUCAAUGAUAAGACAAUGAACAUAAACGAGACACAAAAAAUUUAUUUUAAACUGACAGCCCAUGAUAUAAAUCAAACAAAAUCAACUCCUUUUUUUACACAUCACAUCUCAUAUUCAUUUACAUUGAAACACAAAAAGGAAGCGGGAGUGGGAAAAAAACAACAGCAGAGGAACUUAUUUCCAUAAGGUUUACGAAAUAAGGAAUCUAUUAAAACCCAAAACUUGAGGUCACCACAAAGAAUUUGGUUCUCAUUAUUUUUUUCUUCAUUUUUCACCAAUUGAUGAACUUAAAAUACAAUCAUAAAUGAUAAAACCCCAUCUCAAUCUUUUUGAACUAGAGCUAAAGCAAAGCAUUUUAAGAUGUUUCAUCAUUUUUUUUUUAAAAAAAACCUCAAUAGUACAAUGUUUUUACUCUAAUAAUCUCUUAAUUAAGGAAGAUUAAGCUUCAGUUGUAAGCUAAAACAAAUUUCUUAAAUCAAGCCCCAAUGCUUUAUGCUAUUCAACAAGGGCUCAUAAAUGAUAAAACUACUUCUACAAAGAUACCCAUUUUCUAAAUUAAUUUCAAAAACUGAAAUCAAACUCCUGAAACGUAACGAGCAUUAAUAUAAUCAAACCCGAACAAGAAUUGAAAAAUGACACAUAAACUCGUUUACACAUUUCGACAGACACUUUGCAAUCAAUGAGCAAAAAAUUAAUGGAGAAGAUAAAAUUCAAACGAAACAUGCCUUACAUUGAUCAAUUAGAAGGGCAAAAGAAAUUUUAGUACGAUAUGGGAUCAGGGUCUUGCCACGGUGAUGUUAUUUGUGAUGUUCGAGCGACUCAGCGGCCUUCGAGGUUGAAAAUUUGAUUGACCAAAAGCUUCCCGUUUGUUGAUUCUCUAAUAGCAGAAACGAGACUGGCAGUAAACACAACAACUUCGCUGAUUUUAAAUUCCGUUGUUUGAGAUGGAAAACUUUUUGAAAAAAUUAAUGUGUUCGAUGAAUAUCAAAAUCUAAAAAACUUUUUGUUUUUCAUUUUUUUGGAAAAAACCAUUGAGAUCCUUACUAUUUUUUCUUAUAUCAUCUUGCUUAAUAAUUUGCAAAGUCUAUCGCAUAGCACCCAUGCAUGAUGUAUGCUGCGUAACUGCGUUGUAAUUUACAAAAUUGUAAAUUUGUUAAAAGAAAAUAAUAAUAACAAGUUAAAACUUUAAAAUUUUUAUCAUUCGAAGAAAUUUUAAUUUAGUUAAGUAGGUGACAUGAUAAUAAAUAGAUACGUAUAAUGUCCGAGAUUUUUUAUAAGAUUAAUAAAUAUGAUAAAUUUGGAUUAGUUCAAUUUUGACGUAAUUCAGAAUAAACACAUCUUCCUAAUCUAAAAAUAAUUACAAACAAUUUAAUUUGUGUUGUUUCUCUAAAAGUUUGAGACACAAAUGUUAUUGCAAAUUGAAACGCCAUGCACUAGUAGAAGGUAAGAGAAACCAAGGUUGAAGUUACUGUUCAUUUAUUUUUAUUUAUGAUUUUUUGUAAAAUGUAAGAAAUAUGUAGAAAUGUUGCCAGCAAUGAUUUUGGAACUUUGCAUAAAAUUUUUAUCAUUAUUGUUUUUGGUAUUAAGAAAUCCGAGGCGGUGAUUAGUCGUAUGUUGCAACAAUUAAGAAAUUUCUUAUUGGAGAUAAUUUGGUAGGUUGCAACAAUUAGAGAAUAAUUUUCCUGUCAGUUAAUCAAUCAAUAAUAAAUUUCAAAUUGCAGAAAAUAAAAUAAUACUGUCGCACUUAGAAUCAUCUUUUCUAUUUCUUUCAAUUGUGACAAUCAUUUGUAACAAAUAAAUCAAUUUGAUGCACAUCAUUUCCCCAAUUCAAAGUUCAAGUCACUGCUCAAUUGCAGGGUAGUUAGUAGACAUGCAUGCAUGUUUAAUUAAGUACUGCAUUGUAAUAUAGAAAAUCAUAACAUCUCACCAAGCCCGGAAGCAUAGCUCUUUAUCUUGUAAAUGUUGAAAUCUUAUGCAAACUAUGGGAAACAUGAUCUCACUCUCAGUGCCACUUGAUUCCAUUUUCUUUGUUGGGAAUGCUACGAAGUCUAAGCUUGAAGAUAAUCUCGAUGCCUUGCGGACUGCAAUGGAAAAAUAAGCGGAAACGAGAAAUGAUGUGAUAAAUUGUGAGCCAACAAUAGUGGGCAUGGUGUCGACUUUUGAGAAAGCCUGGAGAUGCCUUGAAGAAGAAUCAGUUGGAAUUAUUGGCCUGUAUGUUAAUGGGGGAGUUGGAAAAUAUUUACUCAAAUCAACAACAAGUUCCUUGAUGGUCCAAAUAAUUUUGAUGUUGCGAUCUGGGUAGUGGUCUGCCAAGAUUUACAACCCCAGAAGUUUCGGGAAAAGAUUGGGAAAAAGAAAGGCUUGUUCGAUGAGUCAUGGAAGAACUGAAGUUUUGAAGAGAAAGCACUCGACAUAUUCAAGAAUUUAAGCAAGACGAAGUUUGUAUUACUGCUGGAUGAUAUAUGGGAGCAGGUUGAUUUAAUUAAAAUUGGUGUCCCUCUUCCAAGCACAAAAAUUACAUUCAAGAUAGUCUUCACAACUCGUUUUAUUGACAUUUGUGGCCUCAUGGAAGCUCACAACAAGAUUAAAGUGGAGUGUUUAAAUGACGAAGAAGCAUGGGAAUUAUUCUGCAAGAAGGUUGGAGAAGAUGUGGCGACUCUGUCCAAGUGCUAAGGAGAUCAGCCUCAGAAUUUCUAGGUAUGUAAAAAUGAGUAUAUAUAUCCACUUUUGAAAUUCAGUUAUGAUAAUUUACCUAGCGAUAAAAUUAGAUCGAGUCUGUUAUACUGUAGUUUGUUUCUGGAAGACUUUCCAAUUAGCAAAACGGAAUUGAUACAUUGUUGGAUAAGCGAGGGCCUUUUGGAUGAAACUAAUAGUUCUGAGAUAUGAAAUCAAGGAUACUACAUUAUUGGUGUUCUUGUUCCUUUAUGUUUAUUGGAAGAAGAGGCUCCACUAUAUGUAAAAGUGCAUGAUGUGAUACGCGAUAUGCUUCUGUGGAUCGCAUGUGAAGUUUUUUUUUUCUUUUUGAUAGGGAUAGCAUGUGAAGUUGAGAAGGAGAAAGAGAAUUUUUUGGUUCGUGCAGGUGCAAGGAUUAACUGAAGUGCCAGACAUUUGGAAAUGGGAAGGGUUGAGAAGGGUGUCUUUCAUGAGCAACAAAACUGAGAAGUUAUCAGAAAUUCCUUCAGAUCCCCAUCUACCGACUUUGUUGCUUCAACGUAAUUAUUUAGAGAUGAUCAAUAAUGACUUCUUCCAAUCUAUGAAUUCCCUUAGAGUUUUGAACUUAUCAUGUAAUCAUUCUCUAAUUGAUAAUUUCAAAGUUAGUUUCCCUACAACAUCUUAAUUUAUCAAUGACUAACAUACGAGAGUUGCCGAAUGAGUUAAAGUUUGUAGUGAAUCUAAAGUUUUUGAAUGUGGAGUAUGCACGGUUUCUUCAUUCAAUUCCAGGGCAAGUGAUAUCCAGUUUUACGAUGUUACACGGUUUGAAGAUGUUUGGUUGUGGGAGGUCAUCUUCUGAUCAUGAGCCACACUAGAAGAUAGAGUUUUAUUUGAAGGCUGUAAACUUUUGAUUGUGGAGUUGUUUGGUUUGAGAGACAUCUAGAUGUGUUGACCAUCAUCCUAACAAGUUCCCUUGCUCUGAAAAGAUUUUUGAGCUACAACAAACUUCAAAGUCGUACUCAAUCUCUCUAUCUUAAAUGCUUUGAUUCAAAUCUUCUUGUUUUUUCCAUAAAACAUUGCCAUGAUAUGGAGGAAAUACUCAGUGUCGGAAAAUUAGGUGAAGAGAUGAUGUCAAAUCUGGAACCUCUUACAAAACUCCAAGUUCGUUGCUUGAAGAAGCUACCAAAUUUGAAGAGCGUCUACUGGAAGGCCUUGCCCUUGCCCAAUGUAUGCAUAAUUUUUGUAUCUAAAUGCCCAGAACUUAAGAAGCUGCCGCUGGAUUUUGAAAGGGCGGGCGAAGGUAAAAUUCUUAUCAAGUGAAAGGAAAAUCGAUGGAAACGACUUCAAUGGGAGGAUCAAGCAACUCAGAAUGCAUUGCUUCUGUUUUUCAAAUCUAGUGAUUGAAGGGGGCAACAUCAACAUCAUCAGCCUGGAUGGGGAGAUUCUGGAGCAGAUCAGUAGGGUUUGAAUCUACAUCAUUAACAUCAUCAGGGUCUGUAUUUCUAUUGCUGGUCUUAAUGCUUGCUUACUGUUGCUUGACAAAGUGAGCCAGUUUUUUGUUUAUUAAAUUUUGUCUUGUAGAGACAGUCACAAAGUAUGGGUUGUUCUAUGUGAGAGUGAUGUGAAUCAAUUUUUCAAUUAUAUAUUCUGUGGUCAUUGUGAAUUUUGUUUAGAGAUGCAAACUUAGAAUAUGGAAAAGUUCAUCGGCAAACAUUUUGUAAAAGCUUCCAACUGAAGUUUUCAUAAUUAAAUAAUAAAAAAAUAGGAAGUGACGAAAAAAUUAUCCUAGGUGUUACGAAAAAACAUGAGCUCCGAAAAUAUUGGAAGUGACGAAAACUUAGGGCUAGGGUUUGAGAACUCUAACCCGCCACCACUGCAAGAGGACAGGACGACUAAGAAGGCCCGGUUUCGGGCUGAGGGAAUUGAUGCUGAUAAUCCUCAUAAACCCUCUUGGAGAGAUAAGGCUAUGGAGGCAGUCACGGUGAUGGCAGGUCAGACAGGAAGGAUUGGAGAGUUGGGUUACGGCAGUGUAUGCUAGCCCUAUUCCAACAGUCCUGCGUGAAUUAUGGUAUCACCUUGCAAGUAUUGCUUCUCAAAUGUUGGAUCCGUGGUUGGUGGGCGGAGAUUUCAAUGCUAUCUUAUACGCACAUGAGAAGAAAGGGGGCUCGAACCGAAUAAGUGGCACUUGCAAUUUAUUUAAUCAUUGGUUUCAUUCUUGCAGGAUGCUUGAUCUAAAGUUCUCCGGCCCUCGCUUCACUUGGUCUAGGGGAAACCUUUCUAAACGAUUGGAUAGAGCGGUUUGCAAUAAUGGAUGGCUAAUAAAACAUGCAAAUAGUAGUGUCAUGCAUCUUCCAAAAAUUGAUUCCGAUCAUCGGCCUAUUCUAGUCAAGUUCCAGAACAUGGAUUCCAAGCAUGGGGGCCCGAGGCCAUUUCGAUUUUUGGCUGCAUGGCUCACAGAUGAGAGAUUUGGGAGUUUUAUGAAUGAUAGCUGGAAUAAGGGAGAGAAUUUUCUUGAGGCAGUGGCUGAUUUUACUCAACAAACUAGGUGGUGGAAUAAGGAAAUUUUUGAAAAUAUUAUUUAUCGGAAGCGGAAAUUGUUGGCUAGAAUAGGUGGGAUCCAAUGAAUUUUGGAAGCCAAGCCUAACCAUAGCCUUACUAGACUUGAAGUUAAGCUUCAGAAGGAGCUCGAAGAGGUUCUCACUCAGGAAGAAUUAUUGUGGCUUCAGAAAUCCAGGAGAGAUUGGACUUUGUAUGGUGACCGCAACACUGCUUAUUUCCAUAAAAAAAUGCUAACCAGGCAUCGCCAGAAUCGGAUUACUGCAAUUCAAAAUGAUACUGGGCAGUGGAUACACGACGUCGAGAUCAUUAAGCAACGUGCAGUCAAUUUCUUUUUGGAAUUAUACACGCCUGAACAAGGGGUGCAUAGAACAUAUAAUGUCAGGGGGUGUUUCCCUGAGACGUCAGAUGAUAUUUGUUUAAGUUUGAUGUCUGCGGUAACAGAUGAGGAAAUCAGACAUACUAUUUUCAGUAUGAGUCCUUUUAAAGCUCCUGGAGUUGAUGGCUUUCAUGCUAGUUUUUACCAAGCGCAAUGGAAUACAGUUGGUAUGUCUUUGAGCUCUUUAAUCAAAAAUAUUUUUAAUUCUAAUCAUAUCCCUGCAGAGAUCAACAGAACCUUGCUGGUGCUCAUUCCUAAAGUGUAUCAUCCAACAAGCCUCAAGAUGUUUCGGCCGAUCAGCCUUUGCACAAUUCCGUAUAAAACGGUGACGAAAAUUAUUGCAAAUAGGUUACAGGUUUUUCUUCCAGAUCUCAUUGGACCCCAACAAACCAGUUUUGUACCGGGUCGGCAUAUUACAGAGAAUAUUGUUAUUGCUCAAGAGGUAAUCCAUACAAUGAAGAAAAAUGUGGGGGGUAAAAGAAUGAUGGCGGUUAAAGUGGACUUGGAAAAGGCUUAUAACCGGUUGAGUUGGCGAUUUGUUCAGGAAACUUUACAGGAAGUUGGGCUACCGGAGCGAUUUAUUCACCUCAUAAUGGAGUGUUUGUCCACAGCCCAAAUGAAUGUUUUGUGGAAUGGAGAAAUGACUGAAGAUUUUCGGCCAGGGAGAGAAAUUCGACAAGGAGACCCUCUUUCGCCUUAUAUUUUUGUGCUUUGUAUUGAAAGAUUAAGUCAUGGGAUUAUCCAGGCGGUUAAUCAAGGUAGAUGGAAACACAUUUGACUGACUCGAACUGGCACUCCUCUAAGUCAUUUAUUUUUUGCGGAUGAUCUGCUUCUCUUUUUGGAAGCAAGUUACGGCCAAGUUGAUGUAUUGAAUGAUGUGGUGGAGAAUUUCUGUAGGAGCUCGGGCGCUAGAGUUAGUAAUCAAAAGACCCAAGUCUUCUUCUCCAAAAAUGUCCCGGUCACUUUAGCCAAUGGAAUUGGCAAGGCUUUAGGCUUCUCGGUUACAAAUAAUUUGGGAAGAUAUCUUGGCAUGCCUCUUCUUCACGAUCGGGUUUCUAAGAAAACGUAUCAGAGUAUCAUUGACAAAAUUGAUCAGCGGCUAUCAGGAUGGGCAGCAAAGCAAUUGUCUCUGGCAGGGAGAGUUACUCUCACUCAAUCGGUGCUUCAGGCAAUCCCGAUUUACGCUAUGCAAACCACGUACCUCCCAUCUAGUGUCAGAGUUAAAAUUGAUCAAUUAUGUAGAAGAUUCAUUUGGAGUGGGGCUGGUUCUCAACGCAAGUUAAGUUUGGUUAGCUGGGACAACAUUUGUAGGCCUAAGAGCAAUGGAGGGCUCGGUUUCAAGGACAUGGAACUUAUGAACAAAGCCUUACUAAUGAAAGUGGCUUGGGAUUUAUUCAUAAAUCCUAGCAAGCUGUGCUCCCAGGUUUUAAUUUCUAAUUAUGUUGCGCCUUGUGAUAUGAUUACUACUGAUGCUUCAUUUAAAAAUGGUUCCUAUUUAUGGCGCUCUAUGGGUAAGAUUUGGAAAGACUUCCAGAAGGGUUUGCGUUGGAGUAUUGGAAAUGGCCAACGGGUGAAGUUUUGGGAUGAUAUUUGGGCUACAAAUGGUGAUCCCUUAAUCAACUAUACGGUGGCUUCAAUUCCGGAUAGCAUGCGAAAUAUGUUGGUGGCGGAUUGUGUGGAUCAAAAUGGGAAUUGGUUGUGGAACAUAUUCAACUCUUUUUUGAAUAACCAUGCUGUUUUAAGGAUUGCUUCCAUGGCUCCUCCGUCGUCAAUGAGAGGCGAGGAUAGGAUGUAUUGAGGUGCAUCAAAUACUGGCAAUUUUACAGUCCAAUCAGCUUACCAAGUGCUUACGAAUUUUUGCCCCGCUGAAGACUGUCAAGACUGGCAACAUUUGUGGAAAUGGAAGAGGCCUCAAAGCGUAAGAAUUUUUCUAUGGUUAUUAUGCCAUGAUCAAUUGAAGACGGGAUGUGAGCUUGCUAGAAGGCAUCUGGACGUCGAGGCUUUAUGUGGGAGGUGCCAUGCAGACGUUUAGAAUUCUUUGCAUGCAAUUCGAGAUUGUGAUUAUUCGAGAGGUGUUUGGCGGAAGCUUGUUCCCGCGCUUAGACAACAUGACUUUUUUAGUUAUCCUCUUUGGCAAUGGAUCAUGACAAAUCUUAGGAGAAGAGUCUGUGAUAUGGGGAGCUUAUUUUGGCCGAUUAUGUUUGGUAUUGCGGCUUGGAGAAUUUGGUAUUGGAGGAACCAGGUGAUGUUCAACAACAAGAGCUGGAAUGGUGAUUUGAUCGUUCGAGAUAUUAAGGCAAGGACUGAGAGUAUUUGUUCUACUCUUUCAAGCAUAGGCUAUCGAAGAAAUGAAAGGAUUCAGAAAUGGAUUCGUUGGGCUCCUCCACCAUGGCCUUUCUUGUGCUUAAAUACGGAUGGUGCAAGGAAAGGAAAUGGAGAGGCGAGUGCAGGUGGGCUGCUGCGGGACUGUCAUGGUAAUUUUAUUCAUGGUUUCAGCGCACAUCUCGGAGUUUGUUCAGUUCUAAAGGCUGAACUUUGGGGUGUCUUGCAUGGGUUAAGAAUGGCAUGGGAUCUUGGCUAUAGACGUAUCCAAGUUGGAGUAGACAACUGUAGUGUGGUGCAAAUUAUAAGGGAAAAUAAUGCUCAUGUCAACGAAAUUUCGAAUAUAAUCGAGAUGAUUAGAGAACUCAUGAGGAGGGAUUGGAGGAUUCAAAUUGAUCACAUCUACCGCGAAGCAAACUCGGCAGCUGAUUUCCUUUCUACGCAUGCUUUGAGUUUACUUGUUGGAGUACAUUUUCUUCAUUCUGCACCUUUAGGUUUGAGAUCUAUUUUAUAUUUGGAUAUGUAUGGGGUGGCACACUCCCGGUUUGUGCCCCUUUAGCUCUUCUCUUUUAGAGCCUUUUGUUUAUCAAAAAAAAAAAAAAAGCUUCCAACUGAAAUAGGGAAUGCACUUACUACUAAGGACAGUUGGUGGCCACCUAAUGCAUUCAUUUUAUAUCAAUUCAUCAUUUUAAUUAUUGAAAACAAGUGGCUCAUCGCUUUUACUUUAGGUAAAAUUCGGAUAAUCUCUAUUAUGAAAUGAUAAUAUUCUCUUAAAUUAUUAUAAACCUCAGCCAAUCUUAAUUUUAUUUAAAAGAUAAAAGAAAAAUAGGUUAUGUUGGUGACUUUUUUCUUAUCUUUUUAAUAAAAAUAAAAUAAAUUGAUGUUUAUAAUUGUUUAAAAUACUUUAAAGAUUGUUAUUUUAUGAGAGAGUAAUAUUUUACUUUUUUAUUGUGAAAUGCUAAAAAGGACAAAGCAAGUGUCCCUGGUUUUUAUUUUAUUUGAAAUUGGUCAUCUCAUAUACUUUACGUUUCAACACUACAAUUUUUUUGGUUAUAUUUUUAUUAUUUUUUUCUUUCUUACACAUGCACGUAAAUUUUCUUUCUUUAAGCUCCUGAAUAUUUAAGACAAAUCAUGGAAGAGAUGAAAGUAUAACAAGAUGAUCAAAAUACGUAACAAAAAAUUUACAAGUGAAACAUACGUUAGAGUCGAAGUAAAACUCUGAAAAUAGAGAUAUUGAUUAAUUUAGAAGAGAUGCAAGCAAAAGAUUUUCUUAAAAAAAAGAAAAGCAAUUUGUCCCUUUCCAGGGCAAACUUGUUAGUCUCAAAAAGGUACAUUCUUUGAAUUGAUAGUUGCAGGAUUUUUGUCUUGUUUUUGUUGUUGUGCAUUAGUUGGAGAAGUCAAGCCUAGUGAAAAAUGUUAUGAAAGAGCAAAGGAUAUUUCUGACAGCUUUAUUUAAUUAUGUAUUCAUUUAAUGGAUGUAUUGUUAGAAGAUAUUUAAGUGCAUUAGUUCAUCCGUGUCUGUUGAUGUGCUUUUAGUGAUUUUUCCAGCUGUUUGUUGUAAAAGAUGAUUGUAAAUUGAAAUGAACUUGAUGUUGUAAUAUUUUCUCUUUUGUGGAAUCUCAGUUGUGUUGUCUAUAAUUUUAGUCAAAAUUAUUGUUAUUAUUUCUUACUAGAGGUAAAUUUUUUAUUAAACCUCAUUAACACAAUUCUUAAUUAAAAGUAUAGGUUAGUGUCGGUGCAGGAUUUGCAGCACCAGAUCCUGCCUAGCUACGUGUCAAAAAUACAAAAUAAAUGAAGAGAAAGCACAAAUACAUGACUUGGAUUAGGAUAGAAGGAAACUUAAAUCUUAAAGAAAAUGAUAGCUAUAUCCCACUAUUUGAAAAAAUGGUCAUGUAGAUUUUUAAGAUUUAAAUAAGGGACGGAGAUCUUCUUUUGACAAAUAAUAUCUUUUAGCUCUCUCAAGUAAAAAAAAAAUUAAAUAUUUUAUAAUAAAUAAAAAUAUAAUAUUAAAAUAUACGUGAUAAUAUAUACAUUUUAAAUAAUUUCAAUCCAAAAAAAUAGUUAUGUUUUAUCGAAUCUACCUAUGUUACAAUAGUAGUAUGGUACCACAAUAUUUGUUCUUAUCCAAUGUAAUCAUUGGAUGAUUUAGAGCUUAAUCUAACGGCUUAAAUUAUUUUUCUGAAUAUUUGAAGCAACAACUUGCAACCGUUGGAGCCGGUUGCAUAUUAAUUUAAUAUCAUUUGGGGAAGCGUACGGUCAGGAAGUUUCUUAGUAUGCCACCAAUGGAAUUUGAUUUCAUCUCAAAUCGAUCUGCAGGCAGCAAUUGGGAAAUUACACUCACGGUCUUCCUCUUCUUCACUUCCUCUCUACUCUUCACUUUUCUCACUCUCGCGAUGUUUACAGCAUGAUAAGUACAAUUACAAACCAGGAAAUGCCAUUAACAAUUUUCAUUUGUCUUAGUCGUUUUUUUUUUUUUUAGUAGAAAGCCAAAAAAGAAAACGGGUGGGAGGUUGGGGCGUCGUGAUGAAAUGGUUUUGAGUUUUUGACGGAAUGUUUGUUUUUGUGAUUCAUUUAGGGUUUGAAUUCAGGCUUGUACGAACUCGGAUCUAUUCGAGAUCCGUAUUGGCGCUGAAAUCAGAUCCUUUGAAGCCUUGGUUUGAAUUCAACCUUGAGAACUCCAAGCUUGUUAGAAUCUUCAUUGAUCUCUCCAGAAAUUACACGGAUCUUAUUACUAAACCCUACAUAUAGGGCUGCAAUGGAGUCCGAUUCUCUCACAAUUGAUGAAUCAAUAUUGAGACAGUUCGAAAAGGAAGUAAAAAAGAGAAUCAACUUGACUGGCUAAAUAAUUGCGGAGGCCAAAGAGUCUUUUGAUAAUCAAUUGAAGAUUUAGAAGUUAAAAGACACUAUUUUUACUAUGAACGAACAAUUGACUAAGGCGAAAAAGCAAGGAGCUUUUUUGAGUUUGAUUGCUGCGAAAUCGAUGCCUUAGAGUUUGCAUUGUUUGGCCAUGAGGUUGAUGAAAGAGCGAGUUGUUCAUCCGGAGAACUAUAAUGAAGAAGGGAAGCCCACACAUGCAGAAUUCGAGGAUCCCAAACUUUAUCAUAAUGCUAUUUUUUCUGGGUAAUAUGCUUGCAGCUUCGGUGGUGGUGAUUGGUGAAUUUAGCUGUUAAGAACUCGAAGGAGCCUUGGAAACAUGUGUUUCAUGUUGUGAUGGAUCAAAUGUUUAAAUUGAAGGAUUAUAAUGGAGCACAUUUAGGCACGAAGGCUGUUGAGGAUUAUAAGUUUUUGAAUUCUCACAUGUCCCUGUGUUAAGGCAGCCGGGGUUUGCUAAUUUGCAAAGGUUUUACUUCGGGAAGUAGCUUGAGAAUGCUACGAAAGAUGCUACUAACAUGAAGUUUAGGAAUCCCAAUUACUUGUUGAUACUGUAUCAUUUGAGGUUCUGGAUAAGAUUUCAAUGAUGGCCGCUUAAAACAAAUAAUAAAAAAAAAGAACUUGUACUGUAUUUGGAUCUUUACUUAUUUGAUAUAGUUUUCUGCAAUCUCUCCAUGCAACCGGUUACUUUAAUUAUCCACUAACUCAUCUCAACCGUUUGAUGGACUCACUUUAUAUCCAACGGCAGUUUUAAAUGAAGACAAAAAGUGUGGUAUGUUGCAAUUGUUGCAACAUAUGUGAGUCUUGUUUUACAAUCUAUUUAACAUAUUUUAUUAAAUUAAUAUAUUUCUAUGAUAUAGGAACAUAAUAUUAAAAUAAAUUUACAAAAAUUUAAAGAAUUUUGAAUGUAAAACAAUUUCAAUAUAUUAAUAAUGAGAUUUUUUUAUUAUUAUAAAAAUUAUUUAACCCAUAGAUUUUUUUAAAUCUUUACAAUAAGUAUAAAUAUAUUAUCUUCACUUAAAAAUAUUUAAAUAUUAUUAACCUAUAAUUAGGUUUGCAUUUAUUAGAAAAUUUUAAAGUCAAAUAUAUUGCACUUUUGCAUUAUUAGAAUCAUCACAGAGAAAGGAGCAUAUAUACUUUAUAACUUUAAAAAUUGGUUUCUUCUGGAAACAGAGAUGAUGAUUAUUAUAAGGAUGAAAAAAAAAAGAUAAAGAAUAUUAAUGAUUAACGAAAUCUCUAUGCAAAUUGAUUUUAGUAGGGAAAGAGUGAGAUGAAUAACUUCUUUUACAGCUAAAAACAGAGAUGAUGAUUAUUAUAAGGUUGAAAAAAAAAGAUAAAGAAUAUUAAUUAUUAAUGGAAUCUCUAUGCAAAUUGAUUUUAUAGGAAAAAAGCGAGCUAAAUGAUUUAGACAUUCAUAGUGUAUUUAUUUUUGAAUUGGUGAAUAAGAAUUAUUGACAACGCUAACUUCAUCUUCACCGUUGGCUAUCCAAUAGCGGCAAUUGUCGCCGAUUAUGAUAUCUCCAAUGAUGAUGACGGUUUUUUUAUUAUUAUUAUUGGUGACCCCUUGGAAAGUUAACUGCAACUGCCAAUCAGAGAAAAGUCGUCAUGCACAAUCCUCAAUCGAACCAAUCAUCUACGUUACAGAAUCUGAAACGUACACACUGUUAACAUAUAUGUUUCCAUAAUGUUGAUUUUGAUGAUAACAAACAAGAUUAAGAAUGAUUAAUCUUUUAAGCUCAAAUUAUUUUUAUGCAUUUUAAAUAAAUCAUUAUUUUUACAUUAUAAAGGUUCUAUAUUUAAUGGAAAAAUGAUUUUAUGAAAUUGAUUGUUUUUUAUUCUUUUUAAAUAAAUCAUUAUUUUCACAUUAUAAAUGUUUCAUAUUCAAUGGAAAAAUGAUUUUAUGAAAUUGGUUGUUUUUCAAAGUUUAUGGUUUAAUUGAAAGAAUUUUGAAAACUUUGAAAUAAACAAGUAUUGCUUGAAAUUUCAGAUUUGGACUUAUUUGAAACUAUUUAAAUGUUUUUAGGCUAUUCUAUAAUUUCACAAAGUUUGGGCGAAAUUAUAAUUUCAGAACGUUGUGGGAUUGACAAAGUAUUAUUCUAAAAUUCUGAAAUUGGACUUAUUUGUAAAUUUUCAUAACGUUUUGGGUUAUAGUAUAGUUUUAUAAAGUUUUGGGGUCAAAUUAUAAUUUCAGAAAAUAGUGCACUGUGCAGGUUACUGUGGCAUCCGGCUUACCGGAUAUAAAAAUCGGAAAACCGGAUACGGGGCAGAAUGUAUCCAGAAUGUAAACGGCUUACCGGAUUUCGUAACCAGCAAGCCGGAUAGGCAAAAUUCAAAUUUUUGCCUUAACGGUAACAUAAAUCCAGCUUAUCGGAUUCCAUAAAUGGCAAACCGGAUACGCCCAGAAUGUGAGUAACGGCUAGUUUUUGAGUUCAAACUAUAUAAACUCAAAACCAAUUCAUUUUUGGUAAUCCAAGCAAGAAAGAACAAGUGCACAUAACAUAUAUUGAGCUUCAAUUUCGUAACUCAUCAUUUAUUAAAUCAUCUUUGUUUUUCAAUUUGUAUAUCCACUCUUAAAGAGAGAUUCAUUGUUGUAUUUUUCAUUUCUCAUCAAAUUGUGAGUGUACAAGUGUGAGAAACACUUGGGGUGAAGAGAUUGGAGAGAUAAUCUCUUGUUGUAAAGGUUCAUUAACACAUUGAAGUCAAUUGUAAACGUUUGAAGCCUUGGAAAUGCUUGGAUAGUGAAAUCCUCAAGCCCGGUGUGCUUGGAAGCGUGGACGUAGGCGGAGAUUACCGAACCACGUAAAAAUCCUUGAGUUUGCUUUCUCUUCCCUUACUCUUUAAUUAUUGUGCUUUGAUUGAACUUAUUGCUUUCAAUUUUUAUUAAGACAUUAGAUUAAAUUGUUGUGUGGUUUGCCUAGGAUAAUUUUUAAAAUCUCAAUUCACCCCCCUCUUGAGUUGCCUAGUUAGUAUUUCACACACCCAAUGGGAAGCAGCACACGUGUUCUGAGGAGAGAGAGAAAAAACCGUGCAAAUGCAAGCAAUAGGUAUUGGCUACAGUUGGAUCUGUAAGUUACAGAAUCUGUAACUUAGCCAACUCCCUCAAUGAUCAAUAUUGUUUCCGAUAUUUAUAAAUUGGUGGCCCCUUGGAAAUUUAACUGGAAGUUUGCAAGUGUCAAUCAGAAAAAAAUCGUCAUCCAUUGUUUUUUUUUUUCUGCAUUCCCUUUCAUGUUCUUAAUAAUUGAGGACAGGUUGUUCAUAACAUUUAUACUUUUCAAAUGUGGAGCUGCAUUUAAUGUCGCUAUUUUAAUUUGGGAUUAAAUUAGGGGAACACUAACUUUUAUAUUUAUCUAAACUCCUUAAAUUUAAGACAGAUUAUGGCGUAAAUAAGAAUAUAAUAAUAACAAAGGAAUUAAAAAGUAUAAUGACGAUCUUGCAGAAAUAUAAAUAUUAGCGUUGAAUUAAAUAACAUAGAACACAUGAAUUGAAUAGUGAUUAUCAAGACGGUGUUACUUGCACUCCUAUUUAUAAAAAAUCUUGGUUCUGUUCCAUUAGAUUUUUUAUCUUCAAAAUCUUGCAAAGUUUUGACAACCCAAAGGCUCAGUUUGGUUGUUCUAUAUUUGUAUGAUAUGAAUUCAAAUUUUUGUGUUCUGUUUUUCUUAAUUCUGAACACGGAUUCUUCUCUUCUCGUGCAAACCAGAAAGAAAUGUUGUCUUACAAAAAAAAAAGGGGAAUAACUUCAUGAGAACAAAAAUUCAGAAAAAUAAUAUAAAGUUUAUAUUUAGACUUUUGUGGUAUAUUUUAAUUUUCAACAAUGAGUUAAAGAAAAUAAUAAAUAAAGUAAAUAAAAGUUUAGAGAUUCAAAUUUUUAGUAUUGGAUUCUUUAAUUCAAAUACCUCUCAUUAAUUAACACUUAAAAGAGAGUUCACUAUUAUAAUUUUAAGUUUUUUGAUUUAUUAUUGAUAUAUAAAUUAGGAGUUUAAGCUUACUUUUUUAUUUUUCCAUUUUUUUUCAAAUUUGAAAUUAUUAUUUAAAUUUAUAAUUUUUUUUAAAAAAAUAGAGGGCUUGAGCCUGGCUUGGGUAUUGUUUCCUAAACCCUUAUCCGGCCCUGGCUUUUUUGCCAGCCCCAAUGAUGAUGAUGAUGAUUAUUUUAUUAUUAUUAUUAAUGAUGAAAAGUAUUAUAAUUAAUUAAUAUAUUAUUGUAUUGUUAUUAAGAUUAACAAUAAUUAUUAAUGAUAACAAUUUUUUGAAUAAAAAUAAUCACAAUAAUUAAAAUAUAAAUUAAUAAUUAUAACAAUAGUUAAUUAAUGUAUUUUUAACAAUUUGUAAUAAUUUAACUCAUUCUAAUUUCGAUUAUUAUAGUUAAGUAAACAACUUAUUAUAAUUUUCAUUCUCCAUUUUAAUUUCAGCUCAUUUCGAUUUCAGUCUAUUCCAAUUUUCAUUUAAUAAACGUUCCAUUAAUGCUAUAGUAAUAUUUCAUAUAGAAAAAAAUAAAAGCUACAACUAAGGUUAAGGGAAAGGACUUCAAAACUCUCUUUUUGUCAUAAUACAUUUUUUCCUAAUUAACUUAAAGAGUUUGAAUCUAAUAUUUUAUAAUAAAUAAAAAUAUAUUCCAAAAGUAAAUAUAAUAUAUCUAUUUUAAACUAAUCUCAAUAUUUAAAAUAUAUUUAAUAUUUUACAAUCUAUUAGACAUAUUUUAUUAUAUUAAAAUAAAUUUUAUAAUAAAUAUGAACAUACUGUUAAAAUGAAUAUAUAAAAAACUUAGAGUAUUUUGAAUAUUAUAUAAAAUAAUUUUAGUAGAAUACGUGAGAUAUAUUUUAUUAAUGUAAAAUGCUAUUUAAUCUAAAGAUUCAUUUAUGAUAAAUUAAUAAUUAUAUUUUUAAAAUUAUUUUAAAAAUUAAAUUUUUUUAAUAUUAUUAAUCUAUUAGACAGAUAAAAUUAUUUAUAUUAUUUUGUAUUUAUUAAAAAAAUUUAAAGUCAAUUUUUUUAAUUACUAUUCAAAGGAUAUAAUAAUUAAAAAAAUCUUAGCGUUUUCAUUAAAAAUUUAAAAAUUUACAUGACUAUUUCUGUAAAUAUUUAAGGUAUAUAUGAACUACGGUAGAGAAGCUUCAUUUAAUAUUAUUGAUUUAAAUAAUAUCUCAAUUAAAAAUGUACAGAGAAUAUAUUUCGGUGGGUAUUUUAAUCUUUUUAGCAAUUAUCAUGGUUAGCCCUUGGCCUUGAAACGUCUGUCAGAAAGGUUUUCAAAUGCUUUAAUUGUUCUUAUUAAAAAAAAAAUCUUUAAUUGUUUUUUCACUUUUAACGUCAGCGGCCUUGAAAGUGCUUUUACUUUAUAACAAAUUAAUUAAUGCUGACGAGAAAAUAUCUCUUCCACAGCCCACAGCAGCUUCUGUUAAUCAAACUCAACCAAUUUUCUCUCUUAACAAAAUUCCAAAGAUGGGUAGCAUUUUUCAGAUCACAUGCGACGGCGCUUUUUUCAAUCGUUGCUUUGGAUUGCUUUCUUGGAAAAGCAGCAUACAUAAGCAACAUCCAAGAUAAUCUUGUAGCCUUGGAGACUGAACUGGGAAGACUAAUCGCAGCAAAGAACGAUGUGAUGAUGAGGGUUGUCAAUGCUGAACGACAACAAAUGAAAAGGCUGGGCCAAGUGGAAUGGUGCGUUUCGAGGGUGGAUGCUGUUAAAAUUGAAGCUGAUGAACUUAUCAGAGACGGCUCUCAAGAAAUUGACAAAUUAUGUGUUGGAGGCUACUGUUCUAAGAACUGCACGUCAAGCUACAAGUUCGGGAAACAAGUGGCUAAAAAGCUACGAGAUGUGGAGACUUUAAUCGCCGAAGGAGUUUUUGAGGCGGUGGCUACCGAGGUGGUGCCUGAGAGAGCUCCAGAGCCUGUAGCAGAUGAAAGACCUACCGAGCGAACAGUAGUAGGCUUGCAAUCACAACUUGAACAAGUCUGGAGAUGUCUUGCAGAAGAAUCAGUGGGAAUCAUUGGCCUAUAUGGUAUGGGCGGUGUUGGUAAAACUACAUUACUGACCCAUAUCAACAAUAAAUUUCUCGAGAGUCCAACCAACUUUGAUUGUGUGAUUUGGGUAGUAGUUUCAAAAGACCUGCGACUUGAAAAAAUUCAAGAAGAUAUUGGAAAAAAGAUAGGUUUGGUUGGUGAUUCGUGGAAGAGUAAAAGUGUAGAGGAGAAAGCUGUCGACAUCUUCCGGAGUUUAAGAGAGAAGAGAUUUGUAUUGUUGUUAGAUGAUAUAUGGGAGCGGGUUGAUUUAACAAAGGUGGGCGUUCCACUUCCCGGACCAAAAAAUACUACCUCAAAAGUUGUAUUCACAACCCGUUUCAUCGAUGUUUGUGGUAGCAUGGAAGCUGACAGGAAGUUCCAAGUGGCGUGCUUAUCAGAAAAGGAUGCUUGGGAACUGUUUCGAGAAAAAGUUGGGGAAGAAACUCUUCAGAGUCAUCAUGAUAUCGUUGAGCUAGCCCAAAUUGUGGCCAAAGAGUGUGGUGGUUUGCCACUCGCACUUAUUACUAUUGGUCGAGCUAUGGCCUGCAAAAGGACAGCCGAGGAGUGGAGACAAGCAGUUGAAGUGCUAAGAAGAUCAGCUUCUGAGUUUGCAGGUUUGGGAAAAGAGGUGUAUCCUCUUUUAAAGUUUAGCUAUGAUAGUUUGCAGAAUGAGACGAUUAGAUCUUGUUUCUUAUAUUGUUGUUUAUAUCCCGAAGAUUAUGGAAUUCUUAAAUGGGACUUGAUUGAUUGUUGGAUUGGUGAGGGAUUCUUAGAGGAAUCUGACAGGUUUAGUGCAGAAAACCAAGGAUACUACAUUGUGGGCACUCUUGUUCAAGCAUGUUUAUUAGAAGAGUUAGAAGAUGAUAAAGUAAAAAUGCAUGACGUUAUUCGUGAUAUGGCUCUAUGGAUAACCAUUGAAAUUGAGAAGCAGAAGAGAAACUUUUUGGUUCGUGCAGGUGCUGGAUUAAAAGAGGCACCGGCUGUUAAAGAAUGGGAAAAUGUGAGAAGAUUGUCAUUGAUGCAAAACCAAAUUAAAACUCUGUCAGAGGUUCCUUCAUGCCCUCAUCUCCAUACUCUAUUUCUUGCCUCUAAUGAUAAUUUGAGGAUGAUCACGGAUGGCUUCUUUCAAUUUAUGCCUUCUCUCAAAGUUUUGAAGAUGUCAAACUGUGUGGAUUGGCCAGUUUCGAAAUUACCUUUGGCGAUGUCAAAGUUGGGUUCACUACAACUUCUUGAUAUUUCACAUACCGGCAUAGAANNNNNNNNNNNNNNNNNNNNNNNNNNNNNNNNNNNNNNNNNNNNNNNNNNNNNNNNNNNNNNNNNNNNNNNNNNNNNNNNNNNNNNNNNNNNNNNNNNNNGAAGAGUUGAAGUUGUUGGUAAAUCUGAAAUGUUUGAAUUUGAGGUGGACAUUUGAGUUAAAUAAAAUUCCAUGGCAACUAAUAUCAAAAUUUUCAAGGUUACGUGUGUUGAGAAUGUUCGCUACUGGCUUUGCACGUUUUGAUGAAGCAUCAGAAGACAGCGUUUUAUUUGGUGGGGGUGAAGUUUUAGUACAGGAAUUGGUCGGUCUGAAAUAUUUAGAGGUAUUGGAGUUGACCUUGGGAUGUCAUCAUGCUCUCCAAAUUUUUUUGAGCUCAAAUAAGUUAAAAAGUUGUAUUCGAUCUCUUCUCCUCCAGUUGGCCGGAGAUACAACGUCGAUUAUUGAUGCUACGGCUUUCGCAGAUCUAAACCACCUCAAUGAAUUAUGCAUUGAUAGGGCUAAGGAGUUGGAAGAAUUGAAGAUUGAUUGUAAAGAAAUAGUACAAAAAAGGCGGGAACCUUUUGUUUUCCGCAGCCCUCACCGUGUUACUAUACAUAGCUGCCAGAAGUUGAAAGAUUUGACAUUCCUCGUUUUUGCUCCAAACCUCAAGUCUCUCGAUCUAGACCGUUGCGAUGCUAUGGAAGAAAUAAUCAGCGUCGGAAAAUUUGCUGAGACUCCUGAGAUGAUGGGACAUAUAAGCCCUUUUGAAAAUCUCCAAAUGCUUGAUUUAGAAGAUUUGCCUCAUUUGAAGAGCAUCUUCUGGAAGCCAUUGCCUUUCACUCAUCUGAAAGAAAUAUCUGUGGGUUAUUGCCGUAAUCUUAAAAUGCUUCCACUCGAUUCCAACAGUGCAAAGGAGCGUAAAUUUAUUAUUCGUGGAGAAGAAGACUGGUGGAACCGACUUCAAUGGGAGGAUGAAGCCACUCAAAUUGCUUUUCGUUCCUGUUUCCAAUCUCUUUUUGAUUAACUCUUAUACAUUUUCUCGUCGUUUGCUUCAUGCAAAAGACUACGUCUUUUGUUCUCUGUUUUUAUUUCAGUUUCGUUUUGUCUCCUGCAAAUCACAAUUAAAUGUUGAAUUAUAUGGAAGUAAUGCUUUAUAAAUUUGCCGGCACUGCCAUUUAUUUUUCCUCUUUUUUUUUUUGGGUCGAAUUGAUGCUCUGGCUUUUUUAUUUUUUGUCAUCGAAUUUUGCUCUGUUUUUCAAAUUGAUGCUUGAAUAUGUGAAUUCAAUUAAUGCUCACAUAAUUUUGUUUAGUUGCCGUAAAAGAAUAUAAUUAGACUGAAAUUCGCACUCCCAGAAUGAAUAGAAUCACAACAGAGAAAAUAUUAAGUAUGCUAGCCCUCUUUACAGAAAAUCAAAUGAAAAUAAAAUUUUUUGGAUAUUUGAUUUUCUAUGGUCUACUAUAUACACUUUAUAAAUUCUUCUGUUCUAAGGAUAACCAAGUAGGGGAUUGAUGAAGGCUCCUUUUUGGGAUUCUUCUUUUUCUAGGCUGCAAUUAGGAUAUGUACAUGAUAGACAAUCUUUUGUUGGUUUAGCAUAUCUUCGCUGAUUUUGUCUUUUAUUCCCCAAUUUUAUAAUUACACACCAUGAAUGUUGGGUGAUUGUAUAGAAAAUUUGUGUUAUAACAAAAACAUUGUGAAGGAGUUUCCGUGCUAAUAGUUAGUGGCUUCUGUUUUAUUGGUAUUGAUUGGGUAGAUUUCGUGUUACAGUGAUUCAAUUUGUGUUCCAAACUUUGCUUUAAUUUUCUGUUUUCCCCAACUAUUUAUGUCAAAUUUAAAUCCAGAAGCAUGUACUGAUUUUUUCUUUUUGUAUUAAUCUGUGAAGUUUACUUGGAAUGGAAGUAACUGGGUCGGGUCUAAUGGAUUAAAUUAUGACAUUGAGGGGAAGGCACUAAAAGGGUUUGCUUGACACAUUUGGUUCUGUAUUUACUCUGCAAGAAAUAGCUUUUGCUUAUUGCAAUGCAGGGGGAAAUCCCGAUUUGGCUGGUGAAUUUCUCUGCAACAAACAGGCAAACGCCUCAACCUCUUCUGUCCAUACUUCUGCUGGGGAGGCAAGGGGUAAAGAGUCUUCAAAAUCAUCAAAUAGUAACAUCUCUGAGAAUUCAUUUUAUGGAAAUGGAAAAUCUAGAGCUUCUAAUACAAAAUGGCAUCUGGUAUCAGGACGUACCGUUUCAAGUUUUCUUGGUAAAGAUUAUGUUAAACCUGCACAGCCAGCUAAUGGCACUGUUCUGGCAUCAAAGCCAUUGAAGUUGGAUCCAAGGGAGUUUCGCAUUUCUGCACUUUCAGAGUAGAAACUAAACCAAAACAAUCAAAGGAUGACCAUUUGCAGAAGGAUAUGGAAGAUUUUCUGUUUAAAUUGCUAGGAGAAGGGUUCCAGCUGUACAGGGAUGUGAUUCAGGAGGUUCAUGGAAACGUCUUAAAUAUAUUGAUGCCAAUUUAAUACAUAUUGUCCUUUUCAAUGUUCUUUCUUUCUUUCUCCUCUUUUUAUUCUUCUUCUUCUUCUUUUUUCUUUUCGUGUGCAUGUGAUCACUAAUUUGGUAUUAUUCUUAACUUGCAGAUAGUUGUGGAUAUGAUAUGCAAAAUAUCUUCUUGAUGCUGGCAGAUUCACUUGAUUCUUAUUAGUUUGUUUAGUGGCAAGGCAUAUAACCUGUAUUUCAAAGCCAAGUUGUGCUAUUGAUUAUGUUAACUUUAUUGUUAACAUAAAGUGAUAUGGAGGACAUAAUCAAUGUAGGAAAAUUAGGUGAAGAGAUGAUGUCAAAUCUUGAACCUCUUACAAAGCUCCAAGUUCUUUACUUGAAGAAGCUGCCAAAUUUGAAGAGCGUCUACUGGAAGGCAUUUCCAUUCCCAGAUGUAUGCAGAAUUUUUGUAUUAAUGCCCAGUUCUUAAGAAGCUGCCACUGGAUUUUCAAAGGGCGGGCCAAGGUGAAAUUCUUAUCAAGGGAAAGGAAGAUUGGUGGAAAGAACUUCAAUGGGAGGAUCAAGCAACUCAGAAUGCAUUGCUUCCAUUUUUCAAAUCAACUGACAAGUGAUUGAAGGGGGCAUCAUCAACAGAGAUGGAGAGAUUCUGGAGCAGAUCAACAGGGUUUGUAUAUGAUCUUUGGUGGUUGCUUUCUUUUGUGAUUUUUUUUUCUCAUUUUUUUUCCUUCCUGUCAUUUUAUCAUUUCUUUGUCUCUUUUUCUAUUGCUGAUGUUAGUGUAUGCUUACUGUUGCUUGACAAAGUUUGCUUGCUUCUUGUUUAUUAAAUUUUUUAUGGUCACAAAAUAUUACUUGUUCUAUUUGAGAGUGAUGUGAAUCAAUUUUCAAUUAUAUAUUUUGUGGUCAAUGUGAAUUCAAUUUCAUUUGUCUCCUGCAAUUAUGAAAAAAAUGCAGAGUCAUAAUAUGGAAAAGUCGACCGGCAAAAACUUUGUGAAAGCUUCGGAGUGAAACAGGGAAUUCACUUACUACUAAGGACAAUUGGUGGCGAGCUAUUCCAUUCAUUUUAUGUCCAUACAUCUAUUUAAUUAUUGAAGAUAAGUGGUCCAUUUGUAAAUUUCAGAUUGUCCCUCUCUCUUGAAAUAACGAUAUUUAAAAUAUUUCUUAAAUUAUUAUAAAUUUUAAUUUACUCUGGAUUUAAAAUGGAACAUGAUGAAAAUUUUUUUUUCUUCUUAAUAAAAUUGAAAUAAAUUGUGUUUGCAGUAGUUUGAAAUAUUUUAAAGAUUAUUAUUUUAUAAGGGAGUAAUAUGAAAUGAAAUUUACUUUUCAUGCGUGAAAUGUUGAAAAAGGACAAAGCAAGUGUCCCUGUUUUUAUUUUAUUUCAAAGUGGAGUCAUCUCACGUACUUUAGCUCUUAACAUUAUAAUUUUUCUGGUUACAUUUUUAUUAUUAUUUUUUUUUUUUACACAUGCAUGUGGGUUACUUUUCCGUAAGCUCCUUAAUAUAUAUUUAACACAAAUCAUGGAAGAGAUGGGAGUAUAUCAAGAUGAUCAAAGCAUGAAACAAAAAUAUUUAAGAAGUAAAACACUGAAAAUGGAGAAGAGAUGCAAGCAAAAGAUAUUCCAAAGAAAAGCAAUCUAUCCCCCUUUCGAGGGCAAACUUAUCAGGUUUAAGAAAAGUACAUGCUUUGGAUUGGUAGUUGCAGCCUUGCAGGAUAAUUGUUUUUGCCACUAUAUUAGUUGGAGGAGUUGAACCCAGCGAAGAAUGUUAUGGAAGAGCAAAGGAUUAUGUAGCCUGAAUGGAUGUCUUGUUGAAAGAUAUCUCAGUGCAUUAGUUCAUCCUUGUCUGUCAAUGUGUUUUUAAUGGUUUUUCCAAUUGUUUAUUAUUAUAGAUUGAUUGUAAAUUGAUAUGAAUUUAAUGUUGAAAUAUUUUCUCUUUAGUGGAAUGAAUUUAAAAGUGCAAAAGCUUAUUGCACACAGAGAAAUAAACAUAUAUGCUUUAUAGUAUAACUUUAGCAAUCGAUUCUUUUACAGCUGGAAACAGAGAUGGUGAUUAUCAUAGGGGUGAAGAAAAGGACAAAAAAUGUUAAUGAUUAACGAAAUUUCUAUGCAAAUUGAUUUUAGCAGGAAAAAAAGUGAGCUAAAUGAUCUUAAUGUUCCACAAAAGCAAAUCGUAAUAUUCCACAAGAAAAAGCAAGAUCUUAAUGUUCCACAAAAGCGUUAUUUUUUUUUUGGUGAGCCACGUGGAGCUCAAUUAUCAUUGUCUUUACUUUAAAAACGUUAUUUUAUUUUAUUUUAUUACAAAUUAAUGCUAAACAAGAAAAAGCAAGAUAUAAUAUUCCACAAAAGCAAAUCGUAAUAUUCCACAGAGGAAUAAGAUCCACAAAAGCAAACAACUAGCUGGAUUCUUUUACUGAAUUACAAAUUAAAGUGGAAUCUUUUAUUAAACAAUAAAUUAAAGUUCGAAUAUUUAAGUAGUAGUGCGUUAGAUGAUUAGGCUCUCUUAUUAAAGGCAAGUAUAAGGUAGUCCAGAAUCGAACAUCUCUAUUGUCUAGUCAUUUUUUUCAAUUCUUCUUUUAUUAUUUUUCAGAAUAGGUUUUGGUGAUUACUAUUGGGUUAUUAGUCAGAGUUAUUCUUAUCUUCCGGGGCAGUUUCUGUUCAUCGGAAUUGUUAAUUAAAAGAGUAAUGAUAUAGUCACAAACUCUUGUAUAAACUUAUUUUGUACAAACUGAUGUGGCAUGAUAAGAUUAGUUGAAUUAAAUAUCACUUAGGCCACAUGAUUUAUUUUUAUUAUUUUAUAUUUUCAUUCAACCAAUGAAUUAAUGCCACGUCAGUUUGUACAAGAGUUUGUGGCUGUAUCAUUACUCUAAUUAAAAUUUUAGAACUCUUGUGGGAAGAAUGUUUUUCUGUUAUCUUUUUUACAUUCUAAUUUCAACAAUAAGAAGGAGUCAUUUUAGAAUUCGGGUCUUGAAUCGAAUUUCAAUGCAUGAAUUAAUAUUUUAAAAAAAAAUUACUACACGCAGUUUAGGUUACAAACUAUUUUUUGCAAAGUUGACUAUGAAAUUGGAGAAAUUAAGUAAUUUAUAAUGUUUGCAAAGGAAGAGACUAACAUACUUCCAAUUACACUAUAUCUCUAUUAUCAUAAUGUUAAGACUAAACUAACUUAAAAUAAAUUUUAUUUGAAAAGUUAUAUCAAACACAGUCUAAUUUUAUUAACUUGAAGAGAUAAUAGUUAUAGAAAUGAUUGUUCUAACUUAAUUAGUACAAGUGGUAUAAAGGUUAAGUGUGCACUAAAUUUGUUUAAAUUUUUUCCAGAAUAACUAACAGAGGUCAUUAUUAGAAUUAUAAUUACUAGUCUAUUAGAUAGAAAAAAUUAUAUAUAUUGUUUUAUAUUUAUUAAAAAAAUUUAAAGUCAAUCUUUUUAAUUAUUAUUUAAAGGAUAUUAUAAUUUAAAAAAAUUUAAUGUCUUUAUUAAAAAUUUAAAAAUUUACAUGACCGUUCUAUAAAUAUUUAAAGUGUAACUGUCAUUUUCUCAUGUAUAUAUAUAUAAACCACGGUGGUGAAGCUUUAUUUAAUAUUAUUGAUUUAAAUAACAAUAUCGCAAUUAAAAAUGUAGAGAGAAGAAAUUUUGGUGGGUAUAUUAGUCUUUUACAAUUAUCAUGAUUAGCCCUUCCUCUUGUAACGUUGGUCAGAAAAGUUUUAAAAUGCCUUGAUUUCUUUUACUUUUAACGUUAGCGGCCUUCCUUAUAUUUUAUUACAAAUUAGUCCUAACAAGAAAAAGCGAGAUCAUAUUCCAAAAAAGCAAAAGUGACAAAAAAACCAGCUGUAUUCUUUUAUUAAACUACAAUUUAAAAUGAUUUUAAAGUGGAUUCUUUUGAAUACAGGUGGGGUAGUCGAAUAGUCUUUUUCAAAUUCUUGUUUUAUUAUUUUUCAAAACUAGUUUUUGGUAAUUACAAUCGGGUCAUUCAUUAGUCAUUAUUCAGAGUUAUUGUUAUCUUCGGGGGCAGUGGGUAAAAGGCUAAAUGAUAAUUACUAAGUGUUUUUCCUUCAAAAGUUAGUGGCUCGUGUUUUGCAAGUGUGUACGUGCGAUGCUCUUUGUCUAAAGGCAAUUACAGUGGGUCCCGAAUCGGACGUGCCUAAUAAAUCUUUUAAAAUUUUUUCUAAUAAAUAUUCCUAAAAUUUCUCUUCCACAGGCAAUUACAGCAGCUUCAGUUAAUCAAACUCAAUCAAUUUUCUUUCUUAACAAAAUUCCAAAGAUGUUUGGCUGUUUUCAGAUCACAUGCGAUGGUGCUCUUUUCAAUCGUUGCUUGGAUUGCUUUCUGGGAAAAACAGUAUACAUACGUAACCUCCCAGAUAAUCUUGUUGCCUUGGAGACUGAAUUGGGAAAUCUAAUCGCAGCAAAGAACGAUGUGACGAGGAGGGUUGACAAUGCUGAACGGCAACAAAUGAGAAGGCUGGACCGAGUGCAACGAUGGAUUUCGAGAGUGGAAGUUGUUGAAACUGAAGCCGAUGAAUUGAUAAGACAUGGCUCUCGAGAAAUUGAAAAAUUAUGUGUUGGAGGCUACUGUUCCAAGAACUGCAUGUCAAGCUACAAGUUCGGAAAACAAGUGGCUAAAAAGCUACGGGAUGUGCGGACUUUAAUCAGUGAAGGAGUUUUUGAGGUGGUGGCUGACAGAGCUCCAGAGCCUGUAGCAGAUGAAAGACCUACUGAGCCAACAAUAGUAGGCUUGCAAUCACAACUUGAACAAGUUUGGAGAUGUCUUGUAGUAGAAGAAUCAGUGGGAAUCAUUGGCCUAUAUGGUAUGGGCGGUGUUGGUAAAACCACACUAUUGACCCAUAUCAACAAUAAAUUUCUUGAGAAUCCAAUCAACUUUGAUUGUGUGAUUUGGGUUGUAGUUUCAAAAGACCUGCGACUUGAAAAAAUUCAAGAAGAUAUUGGGAAAAAGAUAGGUCUGUUUGAUGAUUCAUGGAAGAGUAAAAGUGUAGAGGAGAAAGCUGUCGACAUCUUCCGGAGUUUAAGAGAGAAGAGAUUUGUAUUGUUGUUAGAUGAUAUAUGGGAGCGGGUUGAUUUAACAAAGGUGGGCGUUCCACUUCCCGGACCACAAAAUACUACCUCAAAAGUCGUAUUCACAACCCGUUCCAUCGAUGUUUGUGGCAGCAUGGAAAGUCACAGGAAGUUCCCAGUAGCAUGCUUAUCAGAAGAGGAUGCUUGGGAGCUGUUUCGAGAAAAAGUAGGGCAAGAAACUCUUGAGAGUCAUCAUGAUAUCGUUGAGCUAGCCCAAACUGUGGCCAGAGAGUGUGAUGGUUUGCCACUCGCACUUCUUACUAUUGGUCGAGCUAUGGCCUGCAAAAGGACAGCAGAGGAGUGGAGACACGCAGUUGAAGUGCUAAGAAGAUCAGCUUCUGAGUUUGCAGGUUUGGGAGAAAAGGUGUACUCUCUUUUAAAAUUCAGCUAUGAUAGUUUGCAGAAUGAGACGAUUAAAUCUUGUUUCUUAUAUUGUUGUUUAUAUCCCGAAGAUUAUGGAAUUCUUAAAUGGGACUUGAUUGAUUGUUGGAUUGGUGAGGGAUUCUUAGAGCAAUCUGACAGGCUUAGUGCAGAAUACCAAGGAUACUACAUUGUGGGCACUCUUGUUCAAGCAUGUUUAUUAGAAGAGUUAGAAGAUGAUAAAGUAAAAAUGCAUGACGUUAUUCGUGAUAUGGCUCUAUGGAUAACCAGUGAAAUUGAGAAGGAGAAGAGAAACUUUUUGGUUCGUGCAGGUGCUGGAUUAAAAGAGGCACCGGCUGUUAAAGGAUGGGAAAAUGUGAGAAGAUUGUCACUGAUGCAAAACCAAAUUGAAACUCUGUCAGAGGUUCCUACAUGCCCUCAUCUCCUCACUUUAUUUCUUGACUUUAAUCAGGAGUUGGAGAUGAUCGCGGAUGGUUUCUUCCAAUUUAUGCCUUCUCUCAAAGUUUUGAAGAUAUCAAACUGUGGAAACAUUUUUCAAUUACCUGUUGGGAUGUCAAAGUUGGGUUCACUAGAACUUCUUGAUAUUUCACAUACCUUCAUAAAAGAGUUACCAGAAGAGUUAAAGAAGUUGGUAAAUCUGAAAUGUUUGAAUUUGAGGUGGACAAGGGAGUUAAAUAAAAUUCCACGGCAACUAAUAUCAAAUUCUUCAAGGUUACGUGUGUUGAGAAUGUUCGCUACUGGCUACAUACGAUUCGAUGAUGCACCAGAAGACGGCGUUUUAUUUGGUGGGGGUGAAGUUUUGAUACAGGAAUUGCUCGGUUUGAAAUAUUUAGAGGUAUUGGAGUUGACCUUGGGAAGUUAUCAUGCUCUCCAAAUUCUUUUGAGCUCAAAUAAGUUAAAAAGUUGUAUUCGAUCUCUUUACCUCGAGUUGACCGGAGAUACAACGUCAAUUAUUGAUGCUACGGCUUUCGCAGAUCUAAACCACCUCAAUGAAUUAUAUAUUAAUAAUGGUAUUGAGUUGGAAGAAUUGAAGAUUGAUUAUACGCAGAUAGUACGAAAAAGGCGGGAACCUUUUGUUUUCCGCAGCCUUCACCGUGUUACUGUUAUGGAUUGCCAUAAAUUGAAAGAUGUGACAUUCCUCGUUUUUGCUCCAAAC
rnacentral:lncRNA from 1 species